rnacentral:tRNA from 1 species
GAAAGUAGUGUAAUGGAAGCACCUGGAGUUUUGAUCUCCCGAGAAUGGGUUCGAGCCCCUUCUUUCUA